rnacentral:tRNA from 1 species
GCAGGCAUCGUAUAACGGCUAGUACACCUGCCUUCCAAGCAGGGAAUGAGGGUUCGAUUCCCUUUGCUUGCUCCA